AAGGAUCAUUACCGAGUGCGUCAGUUAAUUCCGACUCCUCCCACCCUUGUGUAUUAUAUGCUGAUAAGCAGCUUCGGCGGGCCGUCCCUUUGGAAACAAAAGGACGUCGGCCCUCAGAAAGCGGAUCUGCGCCCGCCGAAGGACCAACUCUUGAUAACUUGAAGUCUGAUAAAAACUUGAUAAUAAAUCAAAACUUUCAACAACGGAUCUCUUGGUUCUG
rnacentral:misc_RNA from 1 species